AACGAACGCUGGCGGCAGGCUUAACACAUGCAAGUCAAGCGCCCCGCAAGGGGAGCGGCAGACGGGUGAGUAACGCGUGGGAACGUACCCUUUGCUACGGAAUAGCUCCGGGAAACUGGAAUUAAUACCGUAUGUGCCCUACGGGGGAAAGAUUUAUCGGCAAAGGAUCGGCCCGCGUUGGAUUAGCUAGUUGGUGGGGUAAUGGCCUACCAAGGCGACGAUCCAUAGCUGGUCUGAGAGGAUGAUCAGCCACAUUGGGACUGAGACACGGCCCAAACUCCUACGGGAGGCAGCAGUGGGGAAUAUUGGACAAUGGGCGCAAGCCUGAUCCAGCCAUGCCGCGUGAGUGAUGAAGGCCUUAGGGUUGUAAAGCUCUUUCACCGGAGAAGUUAAUGACGGUAUCCGGAGAAGAAGCCCCGGCUAACUUCGUGCCAGCCGCCGCAGUAACAC
rnacentral:rRNA from 1 species